rnacentral:rRNA from 1 species
GUAGUUAGCCGGGGCUUUCUAAUGGGGUACCGUCAUUUUUUCGUCCCCCACAACAGAGGUUUACAAUCCGAAAACCUUCUUCCCUCACGCGGCGUUGCUGGGUCAGGCUUGCGCCCAUUGCCCAAUAUUCCCCACUGCUGCCUCCCGUAGGAGUCUGGACCGUGUCUCAGUUCCAGUGUGGCCGAUCAGCCUCUCAGCUCGGCUACCCAUCGCAGGCUUGGUGGGCUGUUAUCUCACCAACUACCUAAUGGGACGCGAACCCCUCCCUCAGCGGAUUGCUCCUUUGACCUCAUCCCGAUGCCGGGUCGUGGUCUUAUGCGGUAUUAGCACUUGUUUCCAGGUGUUAUCCCCCUCUGAAGGUCAGGUUGUUCACGCGUUACUCACCCGUUCGCCACUAAAAUUUAUCUUCCAUCCGAAAACUUCUGAUAAAUCUCCGUUCGACUUGCAUGUGUUAGGCACGCCGCCAGCGUUCGUCCUGAGCCAUGAUCAAACUCUGA